UUUCCAUAGUAACCUGAUCAAGUGGUGCAAUUUAGCAAACUGAGGAUUUUCAUACCCCCCCCAGAAUGACAUCUGACAGCAUCAAAAUAUAGUUGACUGUGGACGUUCCAGAAUAACACCUUCAAGGUGCAACAGCGCACAGCUUUGAAACUGACAAGUUGAAGCUUUGAUUUGUAUUCUUCAGACAGCCUGGGUCCUUCAGAUGCUUCUUUUAAAGUGAUAGAGGUGGAUGACAGAAUAGGAACUGUAUGAAUGGUGACAGUCCAAGAUUCCCCUCUGCAUUCUGCCCUCCGCACUGACCUGUAAGGGGACAUCCACAGGAAAGACAAGCAGGUUCACAGAGGGGAUGUAACCUUAUUUAAAAUGGAAACCUGUGACAGAAGAUAGCAGUUGGAACUAAAGUAUUUGGUGAAUGUUUCUUUUUUAAUGGGUGAACUUUUAAAAACAAUAUGCUGGUUCGGAAGGUACAAGGAGUAAAUUGCAAAGUUUAUUUUCUCUACUCGAUCGAUGGAUUUUUUAAUCAUUCCUUGGAGUCAAUGAAGUUCAGAGAAGGCCUGUGAUGGAAAAAGCAGCGGGUCUGUGUGUUUGUAGUUCCCACAUUUUGGAUUAGUUUGCUGUCUUGCUGAACCGAUUCCGUUUUGACGGGCAGGGCGUGAAUGUGAUGGAUUUAUCUUCAGAAAUGAACAGACAUGGAAGGAAUCCAAUAAGUCACAAGCUAGAAGAUCAG